UGGGGCUCAAACCUAAAGAACCCAAAUAUCUAAACGGAGAAAUUCAAUACUACCUUUAAAACGUAGUGUGCACUUUUCUCUUAGUAAGACGCCGUGAUCCAUUAGAAAUUGAUACAUACAAAAUGUAUAUUGGGUCAUCAAUAGGCCAAUAUGAAGUUUAUUGGAACAAAUGGCAUAAUCUUUAACGGUUGUGUGUAUUGUCUGGUAAGCAUAUUGUGUUUCCUGUAAUGACUGUCUGAUGGAUUUUAAAGACGAUAUCAAUGAUGUUAUGGCAUCACUUGUCUUUUGGACGAGAUAACGAUAUGUGUCUGAUCAACGGUGGUUAAAUUUGGGAUACCUUUUGGACCCGUCUUGAAACACGGACCAAGGAGUCUAUCUAGUAUGCGAGUAAAUGGAUAGUUUAUGAAAUCUAUUUGCAUAAUAAACUUGACUGUUUUAAUGGGAUUACGAGAUUAGAUACUUUUGUGUUUAUCUCUUCCAUCCCGGGGUAUUUUCAUCAACAUAUGCUUGCAUAUGGAAAAUAUACCAUGAGCACACUGGAUACGACCCGAAAGAUGGUGAACUAUGCCUGAUCAGGUCGAAGUCAGGGGAAACCCUGAUGGAGGACCGAAGCAGUUCUGACGUGCAAAUCGAUUGUCAGAAUUGGGCAUAGGGGCGAAAGACCAAUCGAACCAUC
rnacentral:rRNA from 1 species